GGUCGGGUGGCGUAAUGGUAGCGCGUGGUCCUCCUAUUUUCACAAAAGUUUAUCUCCGUAAAAAUGGAGAUUUAUGGUGUGAAUGGGACAGACUGAGGUUGUGGGUUCGAGUCCCACCUCGAUCG